rnacentral:tRNA from 1 species
UAGCUCAAUCUGGUUAGAGCACAAGAUUGUGGAUCUUGGGGUUGCGGGUUCAAUUCCCGU